ensembl:lncRNA
UUUUUGGUGAGGAAGAUUGUUGCUGAGCUAACAUCUAUGCCAGUCUUCCUCUAUUUUGUAUGUGGGACACUGCCACAGCAUGGCUUGAUGAGUGGUAUGUAGGUCCGCACCCAGGAUCCAAACCCACAGACCUCUGGCUGCCAAAGUGGAGCAUGUGAACUCAACCACUAUGCCACCAGGCUGGCCCUCCCUAGGUAUUAUUCCAAAGGAAUCAAUAUUUAUAAUGGGCACUCCCUCUCGCCCUCUCACUUGCUCACUCUGAUGAAGCGAGCUGAGCUGCCCUCUUCUGAGCUGCCCUUCUAAGAGGCCCAUGUGGCAAAGACUGAGGGCCACCUCACUGAGAGACCAAAGCCCUCAGUCCAACAGCCCUUGAGGAACUGAAUCUUGCCAAUUCGGUAACUUGACUGAGUUUGGAAGUGGAUCCUUCCCCCGUUUAUCCAAGAGAUGGCUGCAGUCUCCGCUGACACCUUGAUUGCAGCCUUGUGAGAGACCCAAAGCUGGAGGACCCAGCUAAGCCACCGCCAGAUUCCUGACCUACCGGAACUGGAAUAAUUACACAACAACAGAUAAUUAAGACAAAUGAUAAUGUUCAUAACUAGCAUUCUUGAGUGUUAGCUGUAUGUCAGGCACUGUGCUAAGUGAUUUACGUGUGAUUUCUCUUUUCAUCUUCACAGCAGUCCCAUGAAGAAGAUAGUAGUAAUCUCAUUUUAUAGAUGGGGAAACUGAGGCUUAGAGGAAUUCGCCAAAGUUACAGAGCUAGUGAGUAAACUCAGAGUGUAAACCUGUGUAGUCUUGCUCUAGAGCCUGGGUGCUUAAACAGGGUGUUCUGUUUGCUCUGCUACAUCAACUAAUCCCUCUCAUCCUGAAUACACUUUUUGCUGAACUGGCUGGUUUUUUAAAUGGAACUACAUUGCUGUUUUUGAAUAAAGUAAUCCCAGGCCUGGGCCCUUGGUCACCUCAGAGAUGGGCAGGCAAAAGCCAGAGACGGGACCAGCAGCCUUGUGUGAAAAACAUAUUCCGAGCACUUGUGUUCUUUGAUUUGGAGCUGACAUUUGUCCUAGCCGUAGUAACGGAGGAGAGGGAAGGAUGAGAGUGGGGAAGGGUGAUUCAUUAUUUCAGCUCUUGUGUCAGCAUAUCAGACUGUGAGGAUGAAAACAAAUCAAGAGAGAAUGUUGUUGGGAUGGUUCGGAUAUGUUUCAGUUGGGACCUACCAAGAAAAAAGGAAAUAAUACGUAAAGUGUUGUGAUGUAAAACAAUUAUUGUGAGAAUAGUUAUAUUGCUUUUAAAAAAAAACUAUUUUGGAAAUAGCUUUUAUCUCUUUUAAUGUAACAGUAGUUAUUAUUACAUGCUUGAUAUAAUAAAAACAUGAAUAGAACAACUGAGAAAAUUAUAGAGAGUGGAUAUCACCCCCAGUCCCACCCAAUAGCAUUAAACAGAUGGAUAGUUUUUACUGUUUCAUAAUAUGUUUGCCUCUUAUUACGGCUAUCUUUUCAUGUCAAUAACUAGGUCGACAUCAUUGUUUGCAGUGUUCUGCUGUUAAGUAUGUUAAAUCAUUUAUCCAAAAUAAUUUCC